rnacentral:ncRNA from 1 species
ACCGCGGGAGCCGGGUGGACCCGGCUGAGAGGGGAGCUGGGAGCUCCCGACCGCACGAACCUGAUCCGGAUCAUGCCGGCGAAGGGAGUGGAGGA